rnacentral:rRNA from 1 species
AGACAGGUUAGUUUUACCCUACUGUUGACCCGACUCCGCCAUAGUAAUCCGGCUCAGUACGAGAGGAACCGCCGGUUCGGAUAAUUGGUAAUGCGCUCGCCUGAAAAGGCGUUGGCGCAACGCUACCAUCCGUCAGCUAACCGCUGAACGCCUCUAAGCUGGAAGCUAUGCUAGGCGCGGAGUCAUUUUCCCAAUGGACGUUGUUGCCAACGAUAGGACUCUUUUAUAGAGUUCCAGAAGCAUAUUCUAUGACAAAUCUCAUUCGUUCAUUGGGGUAAAUCCCUCGCAGACGACUUGGACCGUUCGGAGUAGCGUAAUCAGUAGAG